AAAACGACUCUCGGCAACGGAUAUCUCGGCUCUCGCAUCGAUGAAGAACGUAGCGAAAUGCGAUACGUGGUGUGAAUUGCAGAAUUCCGUGAAUCAUCGAGUUUUUGAACGCAAGUUGCGCCCGAAGCCAUUUGGCCGAGGGCACGCCUGCCUGGGCGUCACGC
rnacentral:rRNA from 1 species